GGAUGCGAUCAUACCAGCACUAAAGCACCGGAUCACAUCAAAAUUCUGAAGUUAAGUGUGCUUGGGCGAGAGUAGUAUUAGGAUGAGUGACCUCCUCGGAAGUCCUCGUGUUGCAUUCG
rnacentral:rRNA from 1 species